CCUACGGGGGGCAGCAGUGGGGAAUAUUGCGCAAUGGGCGAAAGCCUGACGCAGCGACGCCGCGUGAGGGAUGACGGCCUUCGGGUUGUAAACCUCUUUCAGCAGGGAAGCGGUACCUGCAGAAGAAGCACCGGCUAACUACGUGCCAGCAGCCGCGGUAAUACGUAGGGUGCAAGCGUUGUCCGGAAUUAUUGGGCGUAAAGAGCUCGUAGGCGGUUUGUCGCGUCUGCUGUGAAAAUUCGAGGCUCAACCUCGGACCUGCAGUGGGUACGGGCAGACUAGAGUGCGGUAGGGGAGACUGGAAUUCCUGGUGUAGCGGUGAAAUGCGCAGAUAUCAGGAGGAACACCGGUGGCGAAGGCGGGUCUCUGGGCCGUACUGACGCUGAGGAGCGAAAGCAUGGGGAGCGAACAGGAUUAGAUACCCUUGUAGUC
rnacentral:rRNA from 1 species